GUGGGGCGAGGACGUUGGCGGGUUUGCGGCGUUGUGUUGUUGUGGUGGCUGUCUAGCUAUUAUCACUUGAAGUUUUGUUGUCAUGCUGGUUUUGUUUUGUUUGGCAUUUUUUUCUUAAGUUGUGUUUCUGUAAAAUACAAGCUUGGCAAAUUAAACUUUGCAGCUGCUUUUUAGGGAAAAAAUCUCAGGCCAUUUUCUUCUAGUAUAAUAAAGUCAAAAUUCAACCGUUUUUGUUAUAGUUUGCUCGUUCUGGCACAAGGGGAAAGACACAAAUUUAUAUAUAUGGAUAUAAAAAUGUCAACUGAACGCUGUUUUUAACUUUUUAUUGACCUUACAUGUUACACGAAAACUACUGAUACCCAGAACACAUCUAAUCGAAGGAACAUUAUUAGACUGCAAGAUAUAGCUACAAAAGAAAAUGUUUUAUGAGUAAAACAUUCAGAGUUCAGAACACUAGCAAGUGCCAUCGCAGUCUUCUAGGCCAUGAACCGACCGGCGGCAUUAAUUGGGCCCCGCCGUAGAUCCUUCUCCCACAACGGAUUCUGCUCCUCGAGAUCUAACCUCAACGCGCUGCAAUAGCAAGAACAAAUCCAGCAGCAAUAAUGUCAUUAUUCAG
rnacentral:lncRNA from 1 species